CUCCCAAUAGCUCAGUUGGUUUAGAGCGUUCGGCUGUAAUUGUUCAAUUCCUCAAGGAAGUUGCCACCGAAAGGUCACCUGUUCGACUCAGGUUUGGGAGA